AACCUUAUAGUGUAGUGUGUAGCACGUCGGCUACUGCGUCGAAGGCGCGGGUUCGAUUCCCGCCAAGGUUC